GAUGAACGCUGGCGGCGUGCUUAACACAUGCAAGUCGAACGGAAAGGCUCCUGCUUGCAGGGGUACUCGAGUGGCGAACGGGUGAGUAACACGUGGGUGAUCUGCCCUGCACUUCGGGAUAAGCCUGGGAAACUGGGUCUAAUACCGGAUAGGACGAUGGUUUGGAUGCCAUUGUGGAAAGUUUUUUCGGUGUGGGAUGAGCUCGCGGCCCAUCAGCUUGUUGGUGGGGUAAUGGCCUACCAAGGCGUCGACGGGUAGCCGGCCUGAGAGGGUGUACGGCCACAUUGGGACUGAGAUACGGCCCAGACUCCUACGGGAGGCAGCAGUGGGGAAUAUUGCACAAUGGGCGCAAGCCUGAUGCAGCGACGCCGCGUGGGGGAUGACGGCCUUCGGGUUGUAAACUCCUUUCGCUAGGGACGAAGCGCAAGUGACGGUACCUGGAGAAGAAGCACCGGCUAACUACGUG
rnacentral:rRNA from 1 species